ACAAGCAGCGGAGUCGUGGGUUAAUUCGACGCAACGCGAAGAACUUACCAGGGAUUGACAUCCCCUGACCGGAUAUGAAAGUAUCCAUUUCUCUUCGGAGGACAGGGAGACAGGUGGUGCAUGGUUGUCGUCAGCUCGUGUCGUGAGAUGUUGGGUUAAGUCCCGCAACGAGCGCAACCCUUACGUUCAGUUGCUAACGGUUUAAAGCCGAGCACUCUGGAUGAACCGCCGUUGAUAAACGGAGGAAGUGGGAUGACGUCAAAUCAUCAUGCCCCUUAUACCCUGGGCUACACACGUGCUACAAUGGUCCGUACAGAGGGCUGCGACUCGGCGACGGGAAGCGAAUCCCUUAAAGCGGAUCUCAGUUCGGAUUGCAGGCUGCAACCCGCCUGCAUGAAGUCGGAAUCGCUAGUAAUCGCAGGUCAGCAUACUGCGGUGAAUACGUUCCCGGGCCUU
rnacentral:rRNA from 1 species